rnacentral:rRNA from 1 species
GACGAACGCUGGCGGCGUGCCUAAUACAUGCAAGUCGAGCGGACGAAUCGAAAGCUUGCUUUUGAUUCGUUAGCGGCGGACGGGUGAGUAACACGUGGGCAACCUGCCCUGUAGACGGGGAUAACACCGAGAAAUCGGUGCUAAUACCGGAUAACACGAAAUGUCGCAUGACGUUUCGUUGAAAGACGGCGCAAGCUGUCGCUACAGGAUGGGCCCGCGGCGCAUUAGCUAGUUGGUGAGGUAACGGCUCACCAAGGCGACGAUGCGUAGCCGACCUGAGAGGGUGAUCGGCCACACUGGGACUGAAACACGGCCCAGACUCCUACGGGAGGCAGCAGUAAGGAAUCUUCCGCAAUGGACGAAAGUCUGACGGAGCAACGCCGCGUGAGCGAAGAAGGCCUUCGGGUCGUAAAGCUCUGUUGUUAGGGAAGAACAAGUAACGCAGUAACUGGCGUUACCGUGACGGUACCUAACGAGAAAGCCACGGCUAACUACGUG